ACGUCAAAUCAUCAUGCCCCUUACGUCCCGGGCUACACACGUGCUACAAUGGUCUGUACAGAGGGUAGCAAAAGAGCGAUCUUGAGCCAAUCCCUAAAAACAGGCCCCAGUUCGGAUUGGAGGCUGCAACUCGCCUCCAUGAAGUCGGAAUCGCUAGUAAUCGCGGAUCAGCAUGCCGCGGUGAAUACGUUCCCGGGCCUUGUACACACCGCCCGUCACACCACGAAAGUUGGCGAUACCUGAAGUUGCUGGGCUAACCCCGCAAGGGGAGGCAGGUACCGAAGGUAUGGCUGGCGAUUGGGGUGAAGUCGUAACAAGGUAGCCGUAUCGGAAGGUGCGGCUGGAUCACCUCCUUUCUAAGGAG
rnacentral:rRNA from 1 species